AAAGGUGAAAAAAUUAGUUUUGCAAUGAUACUCCAAAGCAACGGACACAAAGACCAGACACAAAGAUUUACUGUAAAUACGGAACAACAUCAGAACACAAAAUGGAUCCAAAGAGCUUACUUUUUAAGGUUACCGGAGCUAUACAAUUGAUUCAAAUGGAAAAUGCCAAGAAAUCCCUUGAUGUGUUCUCAACCACCCUGUCAAAAUGCUUAUCAGCCUGUGGUUCUAUGACGCAGCAGCUCUUACCAUGUUGGCCUCAGCACUCCAGACCCGUCCGAGUCAUCAACUCUGAUCGCUCCAUUAAGAAAGGCAUAAUGGCAGAUGACCUGAGAGACCUACGAAACAAGGUGAGGACA